AAUUCUCCUAUCUCCCUCUUGGUUGAUAGUCUCACACACUUCUCUUCGUUCUUCAUCAAUCUUCAUAGAUUGAGGUUCUCCAUCUUGUGAAUAUCCUUUUCAUCAAACCUUAAGUCUCCAAAAUUAAUGUCACCGAACUUGAUGUCUUGUGAUUUUCUAAAUAGAGCUUGCUCAGGUUUGAACCAUUGAUGUUGGAAGCUUUUUGAGGAGACGACCCAUCACGUAUAUCAUGAGCCACCACCAUUGAGGUUUCUCUAAUAGAAGACAUCUUGAGAUGGAAAUUGUACUUGAUCAUUUGAACUUCAGCAAUACUCUUCCCAGCUUUGUCAGGAAUGACACAGUUGUGUUGUUUAAAUACAACUUCAUAUCCAUUCUCAAUCAUCAGGAAAAAACUCAACAAAAUUUUGGUGAUUUCAGAUUCUGAAGAGCAAAUGCUUGUUUGGAGUCAUGUGGUGAGUGCAUCCACUGUCAAUGAGCCAAGUAUCCUUUUCAAACGAUUCUUGAGUUGCUAGUCUUGCUGUGAACAUUUGAUAUUCUUGUUCUUCUACCUCUUUUACCUCCUCAGGUUCUUGUUCUUGAUUUACUUGAGCUUGUUAAGAUUUUCUGUUUUUGCAAUCUCUCAUGAUAUGCCCUUGCUUCCCACAAUUGAAACAGCUUAUAGUUUCUCUGUUGCUGAAGUUAUUGUUGUUGUUGACUUCAGGCAUGUUUCUCCCAUGCUUGAUAAAUCAGACAUCUUCAUUAUGAGUGUCUCUUUUACAAAAACCGCACCACCUUUUUUCUCUCUCAAGCCAUACUGACUUGAGCUUUCCCUCUCAUUGCCUUUUGAUUUAUGGUUAUUGAAAUGUGCCACAAACACUUCAUCUAUGUCUUCUUCUUCAUCUGGAAAAAUCUUUUUCUCAUGAGAUUCAAGAGAGCCAAUAAUCUCAGUAUAGGUAACAAUUCUUAGAUCUUUUGUUUCCUCCAUAAGAGAUGAUAAAGAAGCAUAACUUUUUGGCAUGGAAACCAAUACCUUGACAACCAAAUUAUAAUCAGAUCUACCUUCUCCUAAAGCCCUCAUUUGAUUACCAACAACUUGAAUUCUAUCCGAGAGUAUUCCAGAGAUCCCAUGCUUGUUUGGCCAUUGUUGCAUAGAGGAUUUUGUCGAAGAUAGACUCAGCAACCGCAUGUUUAAUGAUCUGAAGAGCGGAAGUAUCUUUCGACUCACUACAAGAAAAUCGUCUAUUCUUAGCAUCAGAAAAACACUAUCGAACAAUAUUAUAGCGUUUAGUAAACGCUCUAUCAUCGCCUGCGAUAAUAGGUCAGACACAUUAGAUAGCACUUUAAUACAUGCUAUUGUGUCUUCAUCAAAUAUUGCGUUUUUUACUGUGCAAUUGUAUAUUGAGUAAUAGCAAUUGUACUUUGCUAUAAAUUGUUACACUAAAUUUUAUUGAAAUUACAAUUUUCUGGAUU